rnacentral:rRNA from 1 species
UACGUAGGUGGCAAGCGUUGUCCGGAAUUAUUUGGGCGUAAAGCGCGCGCAGGCGGUCCUUUAAGUCUGAUGUGAAAGCCCACGGCUCAACCGUGGAAGGUCAUUGGAAACUGAGGGACUUGAGUACAGAAGAGGAAAGCGGAAUUCCACGUGUAGCGGUGAAAUGCGUAGAGAUGUGGAGGAACACCAGUGGCGAAGGCGGCUUUCUGGUCUGUAACUGACGCUGAGGCGCGAAAGCGUGGGGAGCAAACAGG